rnacentral:piRNA from 1 species
UUAGGCAACUGAACCUUGUCUGGGC